UCAAGCUACUAAGGGCGCACGGUGGAUGCCUUGGCGAUGGAAGGCGAUGAAGGACGUGGUCAGCUGCGAUAAGCCUUGGGGAGCCGCAAACAGGCGUUGAUCCAGGGAUUUCCGAAUGGGGGAACCCUCUGCUCUGAAAGGGCAGAAUCUCUCGACUGAAUUCAUAGGUUGAGAGAAGCGAACUCGGGGAAGUGAACCAUCUUAGUACCCGAAGGAAGAGAAAACAAAUCAGUGAUUCCGUUAGUAGCGGCGAGCGAACGCGGAAAAGCCCAAACCAGGAGGUCUUCGGAUCCUCUGGGGUUGUAGGGCCUGCCCGGUUUAGAGCCGGAAAGUUACAAAUCGAUCCGCUAGCAGAAUGGUCUGGAAAGACUGGCCAUAGAGGGUGAUAGCCCCGUAAGCGAAAGCGGUGAGACUUUUGGCAGGUACCUGAGUAACGCGGGACACGUGGAACCCUGCGUGAAUCUACGGCGACCAUGCCGUAAGGCUAAAUACUCUCCGUCGACCGAUAGUGAACCAGUACCGUGAGGGAAAGGCGAAAAGAACCCCUGCGAGGGGAGUGAAAAGAACCUGAAACCGGUGCGCUUACAAGCAGUGGAAGGACUAUGUCGCAAGACAGUCUAACCGCGUGCCUAUUGCAUAAUGAGCCGGCUAGUUAUUUUCACAGGCAAGGUUAACCCGUAUGGGGAAGCCGUAGCGAAAGCGAGUCUGAAUAGGGCGAUUUAGUCUGUGGGAAUAGACGCGAAGCGGGAUGAUCUACCCUUGGCCAGGAUGAAACCGCAGUAACAUGCGGUGAAGGUCCGAACCAGUGUUGGUUGAAAACAGCUUGGAUGAGCUGAGGGUAGGGGUGAAAGGCUAAUCAAAUUCCGUAAUAGCCCGUUCUCCCCGAAAUAGCUUUAGGGCUAGCGUCAUGUGAAUUGCCUCGGCGGUAGAGCACUGAAUGGACUAGGGGCCUUACCAGGUUACUGAAUCCAAUCAAACUCCGAAUGCCGGGGACAAAUACAUGGCAGUCAGACAGUGGGGGCUAAGCCUCAUUGUCGAGAGGGAAACAGCCCAGACCGCCAGCUAAGGUCCCAAAAUCGAUGCUAAGUGGUAAAGGACGUGAAGAUGCGCAGACAGCCAGGAGGUUGGCUUAGAAGCAGCCAUCCUUUAAAGAAAGCGUAACAGCUCACUGGUCAAGCGUCUUUGCACCGACAAUACAACGGGGCUAAAGCAUCGUACYCGAAGCUGCGGAUCUGGUAGAUUUAUCUACCAUUUGGUAGGGGAGCAUUCUGUUCAGCUGCGAAGUCUGACCGUAAGGAUAGAUGGAGCGUGCAGAAGAGACCCUUGCCGGCAUAAGUAGCGAUAAGGGAGGUGAGAACCCUCCCCGCCGAAAGUCUAAGGUUUCCUGAGCAAGGUUAAUCCGCUCAGGGUUAGUCGGUCCYUAAGGUGAGGUCGAAAGGCGUASCUGAUGGGAAACGGGUCAAUACUCCCGUACCAUCACAGGUUCGUUAUUACGAUGGGGCGACGCAGAAAGCUAGUCAGGCCAAAUCCCAUGGCUAUGGAAGGUGGAACGUUUAAGGCGGUUCGUGCAGGAAAAUCCGCASGGGCAUUAACGCUGAGGACGGAGUCCGGAGUCGUAAGACUCAUAAGCUGACGAUGCUACGCUGCCGAGAAAAACCUCUAAGGAGAACUUGUGGUGACCGUACCGCAAACCGACACAGGUAGACGAGGACCUAAUGUCCAAAGGCGCUUGAGAGAACACUCGUUCAGGAACUCGGCAAAUUAACUCCGUAACUUCGGGAGAAGGAGUGCCCCCGCAAGGGGGCCGCAGUGAAAUGCGAAGGGCGACUGUUUAACAAAAACACAGGUCUCUGCUAAGUCGAAAACGACGUAUAGGGGCUGACACCUGCCCGGUGCCGGAAGGUUAAAAGGAGCGGUUAGUGGUAGCAAUACUGCGAAGCUGUGAAUUGAAGCCCCGGUGAACGGCGGCCGUAACUAUAACGGUCCUAAGGUAGCGAAAUUCCUUGUCGGGUAAGUUCCGACCUGCACGAAUGGUGUAACGAUCCUUCGACUGUCUUAACGAGUGACUCAGCGAACUUGUAGUUCCGGUGAAGAUGCCGGAUGCCCGCACUUAGACGAAAAGACCCCGUGCACCUUUACUAUACCCUAACAGUGAUUUAUGGAACCUCAUGCGCAGGAUAGGUGGGAGGCUUUGAACCAGGAUWCUCGGAUUCUGGGGAGCCWWUGGUGAGAUACCACCCUUGUUGUUCUGUGAAUCUAACCUAGUACCCUUAUCGGGUUCAGGGACACUGUUAGGCGGGUAGUUUGACUGGGGCGGUCGCCUCCUAAAUUGUAACGGAGGCGCUCAAAGGUUACCUCAGGCUGUUUGGAAAUCAGCCGUCGAAUGUAAAGGUAUAAGGUAGCUUGACUGCGAGACCUACAAGUCGAGCAGGUAGGAAACUAGGACUUAGUGAUCCGGUGGUUCUGUAUGGAAGGGCCAUCGCUCAACGGAUAAAAGGUACGCCGGGGAUAACAGGCUGAUCCAGGCCAAGAGUUCACAUCGACGCCUGGGUUUGGCACCUCGAUGUCGGCUCAUCGCAUCCUGGGGCUGUAGAAGGUCCCAAGGGUUAGGCUGUUCGCCUAUUAAAGCGGUACGUGAGCUGGGUUCAGAACGUCGCGAGACAGUUCGGUCUCUAUCUAGUGUGGGCGCAGGAGAUUUGAGUGGGUCUGACCUUAGUACGAGAGGACUGGGUUGGACGGACCUCUAGUGUACCAGUUGUCACGCCAGUGGCAUGGCUGGGUAGCUAUGUCCGGUUGAGAUAAACGCUGAAUGCAUCUAAGCGUGAAGCUCGCCACAAGAUGAGAUCUCCCGGGAGCAAUCCCCUAAAGACCCGUGGAAGACCACCACGUUGAUAGGCAGGAUGUGUAAGCGUAGUAAUACGUUUAGCUUACCUGUACUAAUCGGUCGUGAGGCUUGAUCAU
rnacentral:rRNA from 1 species